GAGAUUCAAAGUAACCAAAGACUAUGAAGGAGAAGGGGAAAUCCCCCUUACUCUCUUAGAGAGUUUACAAUUCGCCCAUAAAGGGUCUUUAAAUAGAAAACAGGUUGCAAACUCAUAAAACCCUAAGUUAAGGAUAAGAAAUGGACAGUGGAGGUAGCCUGGUUUGAAAUGGACGUUCUGGAUCAGGUCUUGGGGUGUUUGUAGCUGGUUGUAUGCUCCUGAUUGGAUGUGGGAAUGCUUGGCUAGAAAUACUCCACACUGCCUUAUGUAUCUGUCCAUAUCUUUGUCCAGAUACAUAGCCAGCCUUUGUCUCUUUCUUUCCAGCAACAUCCAGCCUGUCUUGGACUAUCAUAAGCCAAUCAGAACCGUGUGCCAGCUCCCUUAGAUUCCCAUUGCACACAGCAUCUUCUUGAUGCUCUUUUGAUACCAUUACUCAACCCGGACCUUGCACAUACUUCUCAGACCGUACCCUUGUACCCUAUUUUUGCACAAGCACCAAAUGUCUUCAGAUGGUUGAGAAAAGAUGUUUCGGGUCGAUCUCAUCCGUACCGGUCCGUACAGUCCGUACGGCCGUCCGUACAGCCGACCCUAACUUUGC
rnacentral:lncRNA from 1 species